UGGGGAAUCUUGCACAAUGGGGGAAACCCUGAUGCAGCGACGCCGCGUGAACGAUGAAGCCCUUCGGGGUGUAAAGUUCUUUCGACAGGAACGAUAAUGACGGUACCUGGAGAAGAAGCUGCGGCUAACUACGUGCCAGCAGCCGCGGUAAUACGUAGGCAGCGAGCGUUGUUCGGAGUUACUGGGCGUAAAGAGUGCGUAGGCGGCGAGCCAAGUUUGGUGUGAAAUCUCCCGGCUUAACCGGGAGGGUGCGCCGAAAACUGGUUGGCUGGAGUAUGGGAGAGGAAAGCGGAAUUCCUGGUGUAGCGGUGAAAUGCGUAGAUAUCAGGAGGAACACCUGCGGUGUAGACAGCUUUCUGGACCAAAACUGACGCUGAGGCCCGGAAGCGUGGGUAGCAAACA
rnacentral:rRNA from 1 species